rnacentral:rRNA from 1 species
CACGUAGGGCGCAAGCGUUGUCCGGAAUUAUUGGGCGUAAAGAGCUCGUAGGCGGUCUGUUACGUCUGCUGUGAAAACUCGGGGCUUAACCCCGAGCUUGCAGUGGAUACGGGCAGACUAGAGGUAGGUAGGGGAGAAUGGAAUUCCCGGUGUAGCGGUGAAAUGCGCAGAUAUCGGGAGGAACACCGGUGGCGAAGGCGGUUCUCUGGGCCUUACCUGACGCUGAGGAGCGAAAGCGUGGGGAGCGAACAGG